CACAGCAGGGGACGUUGAGAUCCUCGGGCCGUUGCAAGACGGUCGCCGUGCUGGGUAGGUCACCAGCGGGCCCGAGGGGAGCGAGUGGCGAGACCGACCCCAGGACCG
rnacentral:ncRNA from 1 species